rnacentral:rRNA from 1 species
UAGAUGUAUAGAGGGUGAGGCCUGCCCAAUGGUUGUAUCUAAAAGCGGUUGAUAAAAGUCGACCUCGUAAGGACAAUUGAAUGGCCGCGGUAACACUGACCGUGAUAAUGUAGCGUAAUCAAUAGCCAAUUAAUUGUUGGCCAGUAUGAAUGGCGCCACGAAGGCCCCACUGUCUUAAGGAAAUUCCCAGUGAAAUUGAAUUCGUAGUGAAGAUGCUACGUCCAAUUUGUUAGACGAAAAGACCCCGUUGAGCUUUACUGGGGCACUUACACGGCCCCGGCCUUCCAAACUAGGCUUACUAUGCCUAGAGGUCGGCCGAAUUUAAAUGGGUGGUUUAGAUUAUGUGGCAGCCCCCCGUCGGGGCAGAUGAAACCCCACUCCCCCAUGUCAAAGGGGCUAACCCCCCCCUUGGGGGGGACAGUGUAAGUAGGACAGUUUGGUUGGGGCGACCGCCUUUUAAAGAGUAACGAAGGUGCGCUUAAGGUGCGCAAAUAAUGACUGAAGCCUGACUGCGAGGGGGACACCCCGAGCAGACACCCCCAAGCCUGCCCUAAGGGCGGCGGUGGGGUGGGCCAUAGUGACCCGUUAAUUUAGAGUGGAAUAGUUAACGAUCAACGAAUAAAAGUUACCACGGGGAUAACAGCGUAAUAUCGUUAGAGAGUUCACAUCGACGAC